rnacentral:snRNA from 1 species
AUUGCUUCUCAGCCUUUUGGCUAAGAUCAAGUGUAGUAUUAAAAAGGGUGCAGAACUGGGUCUCUUCGCUCUUACUAGAUGUAUCAUUAUAAGAGGCAAUGUUAGGACCUGGCAAUGAGCUAAUCAUUAAAUUUGCACUUUUUGGCAGUAUUAGAAUUGAA